rnacentral:rRNA from 1 species
UCGCCUGUUUAUCCAAAAACAUAGUCUGUUGCUUUUUAUACAGGUAUUUUCUGCCCGGUGGGUGACUAAACGGCCGCGGUACUCUGACCGUGCAAAGGUAGCAUAAUCACUUGUUCUUUAAUUGGGGACUGGAAUGAAGGAAAGUUUGAAGGCCUUGCUGUCUCCUCUGCCUGUUGGAACUUGCUGUUUUUGUGAGGAAGCAAAAAUUCCCUAAAGGGACAAGAAGACCCUAUUAAGCUUCUAUUUUUUUGGAGCCAAUGGAGUUCUUUUAAGUAGUCCCCGUUGGCUCGGUAAAAUUUGGUUGGGGCGACUAAAGAAGAGGAAAUCUUCUUUUUUUGAGGUACUUUGAGUUUAAAGUUGACCCGGCACGUGCCGGUUGAAAGAACUAGUUACUAUAGGGAUAACAGCGUAAUCCUCUCGGAGAGUUCUUAUUGAGGGGGGGGGUUGCGACCUCGAUGUUGACUUGCUAUUUCCUUCUAAGGUGCAGCAGCUGUGAGGGUGGUCUGUUCGACCAUUAAAAUG